GCAGGGGGUGGGGCGGUGGCGCGGCGUGUCAGCGGCGGCGACAGGCGCUCGUGCCGCCGCCCCUCGGGAGGGGGACGCGAGGCCGCCGCCGCGUGAGGAAGAGCGGCUCUCGCACGGCCCCGCCGCUGUGGAACGUGUGGGGACGGAGCGGGACGGGGAGUAAACAAGCCUCUGGCCGCGCUCCCGAGCUUGGCCGGCUCCCCGCGGGAACGGGCAGUUCCACCCGGCGGUGUCCCGCCGCCCUUACGCUUCCCGUGCGCUGAGGGGAAAGUAAUAGUCCCACCUUUGCCGUUUCUUCUGUUUUGGCUGUCAGCCUCCUACUCCCUCCUACCAACCCGUGGCCACAGGGGAAACAAACCUCGUUCCAAAAUACGGCUCGGGUUCACAGACCGUGCCUUGUAUUGCACAAAUUCCUCGGCCACUCUCCGCGUGGAAAGCAGGAGCUAAAGAAAGCAAGCCACAUGAUGAUGUAAUGAAAGCCCAAGUCAUAGCACACGCCAAAUAGGUGUCUUCUUUACGAAUGAUUGGCUCUUGGAAUUAACUGGCCUUUGGAUUCUUAAGUCUGUGUGCUUUGUGUCCUCCAAAUGGUUUUAAAAGAAGCUAAUUUAGAAAUAGUUAAAAAUGCAGUUAUGAUCCUAAUGAUGGACGUCUUAUAGAAGCACAGAUCUUGCUGCAUGCUCCCUUUGUUGCCCAGAGAAGCUGUGGUGCCCCAUCCCUGGAGGUGCUCGAGGCCAGGUUGGAUGGGGCCCUGGGCAGCUGAGGUGGGGGUGGCAGCCCUGCCCACAGCAGGGAAGUUGGAACUGUAUGAUCUUUAAAGUCCCUUCCAACCCAAGGCACUCUGUGACCCUACGGUUUAUCUCUUUGACCGUGCACACCCAGGUCGAGCACAAAGAAAUGGUACACACACGUACAACGGCAGAAGAAUACAGAAAAACUAAAAGCCCAUAACAAAACUUAGUGCAGCUGUGUAAAAUGCAUAAGAAUUGUCAAAGCAAAGAGAACUUAUGGGCAGCUGGCAAAAAAUACCCAGGGAUCAAGUUUUAUUCUCCAUGAAAAGCCCCAAAGACAUCCUAAACAAUUUAAGAAGCAGAAGUUAACACCCAACAUCCUCCAGUGCCUCUGUCCCAAGGCUGUUCUCCAAAUCUUGCUGAGCUUUCUUACAGUAAGUCUGGCUUCACCCAGCACCAGUUUUCUUUUUGUCACCUUGAAAGUGCUUCUGUAUGCAAGGCUGGAACAAGGGUCAGCAGAUGUUGUGGCCUCGUUUCAAGGAAUCUUCAACGCUUCUACUUUCUUCAUCUUCUAAGCCUUUAAGAACUCGUCAGCCGCUUGAUAAUUCAGCACACAGAGCACCACCCUUAAGGGAAGAAAGGUGUUUCAGAGCCUCCCUGAUUCAGACAAACCAAGUGUCGCUACCUCUGAAUUUCUGCUGCAUGUUGCCAGCUAUCCACACUGAUGCAUAGCAGGACACGCCGAUGUGAGAGGAAGCAUUCCAGAAACAAUGUAGAUUUUACACUAUCUUUAGACAGGGAUCAGGAGGUCCUGCACUGCAUGUUCCAGCAGUUCCAGAGGCAUAACAAAGUUAAGUGCUGAGUGUGUAGAUUAGAAGAGUGUUAAGUGCUUUCCAUUUGAUACAUAACAGCAGUUACUUCACGGGCUCAGAAGCAUUGAUCAUCUGUCAGUAGGUGACACGAAAGCUGAGCUCAGUCUUCAGAGGUGCUUCUACACUCAGUGUGGUGUUAUGGAGCUCACCUGCUAGAAACUCCUGCUCUGUAAGCUUUAAAUGCCGUCUAAAUGUCCCUUUACCUAAUUAGAGAUAGUGAGAGCAGGAAUUGCCAUCUGCCGGCCGAGCCAGGAAUGAUCUGUGCCUGCAAUUCAUUUCUUCAUCUGUGUGGCUAAAUUUGGAAGUGGAUUCGAGCAUAAGAGAUGGUGUGACGUGAAAGCAGGACAAUGCAGCUUGCAGCCAACUCUGCACACAGUGCAUGGUGCUGCUCAGCCUCGCUCCAGGAAGGGCUGGGGAAAAACAGAGAAGAGAAUAGUUUUUUGGUGAUCUGAGACACCUCUUGAUUUUAUUGAGGUGUUGAUUUAAAAACAGUCAGCAAAAUGAUUGUUCUGUUGUGGAAAUUUUGAACUUUUGAACGAAGUUUGGAUAUUGGGAAAAAUUCCUUCUCAGAAGGAGUGGUGAGGCAGUGGCCCAGGCUGCCCAGAGAGAUGGUGGAGUCACCAUCCCUGAAGGUAUCCAAUAAACAUGGAGAUGUGGCAGUGAGGGAUGUGGUUAGUGGGCAUGGUGGGGAUGGGCUGACCGCUGGGCUAGGUGAUCCUUGGGGUCUUUUCCAACCUUAAUGAUUCUGUGAUUCUACGAAAGUGAUGAGUGGCCUCGGUUAGAAAUUAACUUCUGUGUCUCACAGUGUUUUCUGCAUGAGAAGAGUCAGUGGAAGGUUAUUUGACGACAUCUUCCCUGGCAGCCAUCCACUGCAGGAAGACAACAGAAAAUGGAACCCCACCUCCCCACCUCAUCUCCCCACCUGCAGGCUGAACAGAGGCACCCUCCCAGCCCCUGCCUAUGUGCCGCAGCGUCCUCACAGUCUUCUCCAAUUUGCAAGCAUCCAUUAAGCUCAAGUCUUGCAGCAACAUCUACGAUAAUGCAUACGAUCCUAUUCACCACAUUGUCAGGAAGAAUGCUGCAGAACUAGGAAAAGUACAAAGAGGACAAAUCAGCAAUUUGAUACUGCGUUUGAGUGAGAAGCAUUUAAAUUAAUCAGAACCUUACAGCUUGGGAAAGAAAUCACUAAGAAAACUAAGGCCUAUUAAGUCAUGACUGGCAUGAAACAGGCAAAAGGAAAUGUUUAUCUGCUAACUUUCAAAUAGAAGAGCUAAGGGACCUCCAAGAGAACCAUUGAGCAUCAAGGUUAACCCAAAAAUUACUAUUUCACUCAACAAAGCUAAAUUAUAGAACUAGUCAAUACAAAAUAUUUAAGAUGCCAAAAUGAUAAACUUAACAAACCAGUAGACAAAGUCACAAAAAAAAAUAUCUG
ensembl:lncRNA